rnacentral:lncRNA from 1 species
GGAAGGGGCGGGGCGUGCGAGCCUGAGGGGAUCUUGGGCGGUGAGCUGCCGUGGGAGCUCGCUACGGACUGACUGGAGGAAGUACCAGGCUUAGGGUACUGCUGGGACUAUAAGGAUAUGCUCAUGAACUUGCCUGAAUUCAAAAUACUGGGCCAUCUCUUCAGUGAAGAGAUCUUCUAAUCUCUUGACCCAGCAUCAUGAAAUAUGGGACACUGUGUAGCUGAGGUAUUGGCUGGAACAUACGGAGGCCUGACACCAGCAAGCUGUUGGGAAGAACUCAUCCUUUGGGUCAAGAUGCUGAUCCUCCAGGCAGUGCUCCAUCUUCUUUGAAGCUCAGAAAGGUUCCCGUUUCAUAGCAUAUUGUGUCCAGUCAAAGGAUGCAGCAGAAGUGCAUCUGAAGAUUUCACUUCAGAAACUUUCACAUUACUGCAACCUGGAACCUCAGGGGCUCCUUCAGGAAAGAAAGAUCAAAUCAGAACAGAUUGGCUCUGUCAACCAACA